GGUGGCGCAGUGGUAGAGUGCUUGCCUUGCAUGCAUGAGGCCCUGGGUUCCAUUUCCCAGCACCA
rnacentral:tRNA from 1 species